AGAAGCUCCACUUCUGCGCUCUCAUCUCUUUGGCUUUGAUGAAGCUGUGAUGACUGCGGUUUUUCUUCAUCUUCACUCCAGAGGUCCACUUGUUCCUCUUUGAUGUUUGUAGGCUCUGAGUUCUUUUGAUCCAGACUCUGAUUCCCUUCCUGC